GUUGGCAGACUUAAUCAGCAGCCUCGUCUGACCAAGCUGACACGAAUGCACACUGGUAAGAAGAGCGAGUUUCUGAAGGUGUUAAAUCGGGACGGAGUGGAGGAGGAGCAUGAGGAUGAAAGCCAUGCUGGCUCCGAGAAGGAUGAAGACUCAUUUAAUUUGCGUAACAGCAAUAGUACUCACCAAGACAGAGAUAUAAACGGGAACUUUGAUGAAAACGAAAUUCCACAAGAGAAUGGCAAUGCCUCGGUUAUUUCCCAGCAGAUCAUUCGGUCCUCAACCUUCCCACCGACCGAUGUUCUUUCAAGUUCCCUUGAGGCAGAAUACAGAUUGUUGAAGGAGAUGGGCUGGCAAGAAGACAGUGAAAACGAUGAAACGUGUGCUCCCUUAACUGAGGAUGAAAUGAGAGAAUUCCAAGUUAUUAGUGAACAGUUGCAGAAGAAUGGUCUGAGGAAAAAUGGUAUUUUGAAAAAUGGCCUGAUCUGUGACUUCAAGUUUGGACCCUGGAGAAGCAGCACUUUCCACCCCACGAUUGAGAAUGACGACACGGAGACGAGCAGCAGCGACACGUCCGGUGACGACGACGUGUGAGGUCCCAGCACCUCC